UAGUCCACGCCGUAAACGAUGAGUACUAGCUAUUGGGGGUAUUGACUCCCUCAGUGGCGCAGCUAACGCAUUAAGUACUCCGCCUGGGAAGUACGGUCGCAAGACUAAAACUCAAAGGAAUCGACGGGGGCCCGCACAAGCGGUGGAGUAUGUGGUUUAAUUCGAAGCAACGCGCAGAACCUUACCUACCCUUAACAUUUCACGACGUAUACAGAGAUGUAUAUUUCUCUUCGGAGACGUGAGGAUAGGUGCUGCAUGGCUGUCGUCAGCUCGUGUCGUAAGAUGUCUGGUUAAGUCCAAUAACGAGCGCAACCCUUAUCCUUAGUUGCCAUCAUUAAGUUGGGCACUUUAAAGAGACUGCCGGUGACAAACCGGAGGAAGGUAAGGAUGACGUCAAGUCAGCAUGCCCCUUAUGCUCUGGGCUACACACGUGCUACAAUGGCCGUGACAAAGAGUUGCUACUUUGUGAAAACAGCUAAUCUCAUAAACGCGGCCUCAGUUCGGAUUGCG
rnacentral:rRNA from 1 species